GACGAACGCUGGCGGCGUGCCUAAUACAUGCAAGUUGAGCGCUGAAGGUUGGUACUUGUACCAACUGGAUGAGCAGCGAACGGGUGAGUAACGCGUGGGGAAUCUGCCUUUGAGCGGGGGACAACAUUUGGAAACGAAUGCUAAUACCGCAUAAAAACUUUAAACACAAGUUUUAAGUUUGAAAGAUGCAAUUGCAUCACUCAAAGAUGAUCCCGCGUUGUAUUAGCUAGUUGGGGAGGUCAAGGCUCAACAAGGCGAAGAUACAGUGCCGACCUGGGAGGGGGUUCGGCCCACUUUGGAAUGGGACCACGGCCCAACUCCUUCGGGGGGCCACCAUAGGGGAUCUUCCGCCAUGGGGCAAGAUCUGACCGGGCAACGCCCCGGGAAUGGAGAAGGUUUUCGGGUCGUAAAACUCUGUUGGUAGGGAAGAACGUUGGUGAGAGUGGAAAGCUCAUCAAGUGACGGUAACUACUCAGAAAGGUACGGCUAACUACGUG
rnacentral:rRNA from 1 species